ACUUCUCAAACUCGCAUUUGUAAAAUUACCAGCAUGGAGAGUAAACAUAACAAUAAGAUAAUCAAUAUAAUAAUAAGCAUGUGAAUGAGGCACGUUCAAAAAUUUUGAAGCUGUGUAACAAUUCAUUUAAUUUGCUAAGUUUUAUCAUCAUGACAUAAAAUUAUUUUCAUG